UAUUGAACGCAUAUUGCGGCCACGGGUCCGUCCUGUGGCCACGCCCGUCUGAGGGUCGGCGACGUUCUACCCAUCGCUGGGAGGCUCGUGCCCAGCGCCUUGAGCUUUCGCAGGCUCCUUCGGCCUGCGUGGCUUCAAAUGCAGACUCGGAAGAAAUGUUUGUUUGUUUGCCUUGUUGCUGAAAAGCGUGACGACGACCUCAUGCGAGCAAAGGACAUGGCUCGGAUGAUGAUCACUGCUCUUGUCUUUGCUCGCGACCACGACGACGUCAGACAACAAGGCAUACAUCCCAUUUCCGACCUCAGAUCGGACGAGAUUACCCGCUGAAUUUAAGCAUAUCAC
rnacentral:rRNA from 1 species